GGUGACCUCGAAUCAGGUAGGACUACCCGCUGAACUUAAGCAUAUCAAUAAGCGGAGGAAAAGAAACCAACAGGAUUGCCCUAGUACCGGCGAGUGAAGCGGCAACAGCUCAAUUUGAAAUCUGGCCCUCGGGUCCGAGUUGUAAUUUGUAGAGGAUGCUUUUGGUGAGGUGCCUUCCGAGUCCCUGGAACGGGACGCCAAAAGGUGAGAGCCCGUCUGUGAUACGAGCUCUGUAAGCUCCUUCCACGAUCAGUAGUUUGGAUGCUGCUCUAAUGGGAGGUAUAUGUCUC
rnacentral:rRNA from 1 species